AGUGAAAUGAUCAACACACAGUUGAAGUCGUCGAUGGUCUGGGACUGAUCAGUAAGCUAUAGAAACUCAACAAGGAUAGAGAAAUUGUUAGGUCGAGACACUGACUUGUCUUCACAUAAAUUCGACUUUAAAAUGUUUUAUUCAAAUUCAUGGACCAAGUGCUUGAUAUGCCUUAUCUUUAUAACAAGUGGAGAUUCUGAAUGUCCCAAACCUCAAGUGGAGGGAAAUCAAAAUGUCUUUCUAACGAAUGAUGCGCUCCUAAAGAACGAUUUUCCGGAGGGCUCGGAAGUCACGUUUCAAUGUGCCAACGGCUACAUGAAAGAGCAAGGAUCUGAAAGCGUCACCUGCACGAGUGGAGAGUGGAGCACCCUGGAAUUAAUCUGCAAACAUAAGGACUGCGGUGCACCCAAGGAGAUGCCACAUUUGACAUAUGAGUUUGAUAAGGGAGGGACGCUUUUUGGUGCUUCAGCAAGAGCAAUUUGUGAUAAAGGCUAUCAAGUUCAGGGAUCAAGUUACAGGCAGUGUUAUGCCACAGGUUGGAGUGGAAGAUCAAGAUGUGAAGUGGUAACUUGUGAAGAWCCUAUUGAUAUAAUGAAUGGCAUGAUCUCAGAGAAGCCUGACAAACAGUUUCCAGAGUAUGGGGAUGUCAUACAGUAUUCCUGUGAUGAAGGUUACACCCUCAUUGGAAACAAAUCCAUUGAGUGCGAUGAAGAUGGUGAAUACAACUCAUUCCGUCCUGAAUGCAAAGAUGUCAAUGACAUUCCUUUGAAACCAACAACCAUAUCAGCAUCAAUAACAUCGACUGUUCCACCCACAAUACAAGUUUCAGGGACGCAUCAUAGCAUUGGUGAACAUGACACCAACACAGCUACAAAUGUCAAUGACAUUCCUUUGAAACCAAUAACAACAUCGACUGUUCCACCAACAAUACAAGAUUUUUCCAGCUCACAUGCAGCAGUCGUGGGAAGUGUGAUCGGCUUCGUCAUAGUUACACUUAUUGUGCUGUUCGUAUUAUAUCGUUUUCAGAAGAUGAAAGGCUCCUACCAGACAGGAGAAGACUCAAGAAGAAAAGAGGAGUUAUUACAAUUUCAAAAUGACUAAGUUGAAUGCCUACCCAAGGGCUAGGACUGCUCCUGUCUGCGUCCUUGAAAAGAAGUGCCCAGUAAUUGUCUCAGACCAUUCCCUGGUUGAACAAAGCCACUUAAUUUACAGUGCCUUUACGUAUGUGACAUUACUGAAAGAAAGUUAUAAUUGUACUUUUGUUAUGAAGAUGUAAAUAUUUUUUGAAAGUCAAUGUAAAUGUUUUAACCCAAUGUUUGAAGACUAAUAUUUAAAUAUUUUAUGUAAAAAAACUGGAAUAUGUGUAAUAAAAAGCUUUUUGCCUUGUCAAAUACCAUAUUUGUCUACAAGUUGCUAGUCAGCUGUGUUGAGUGGGCAGAAGGCCCUGUAAUAAGAUUAAUGCACUAAACAAAAUGUAUGAUUGAGGAAAUCCCCAGGCUGAUCAUCUCUGACCAUUCCUAAAUGUGUGCGGAAUGAUUGCGGCUCAAAGGAAAAUAAUCUGGGUCUGGUAAAGCGGACAUUCCUGUUAAAUCUACUGUAUUUAUUUUCAAGUAGGCUCAAUGUGGGUCAGGGAAACCAGCUCAUGUUMAUUUCCUCGCCCCAAAUGUGUGAUUUAAAGGAAAGGUUCGCCCAUUUUGAAUGUUAUAUUUUUUUUGGUGCAUCUGAGUGAUGUUCUAUCGAUUCCCUGGGUCUUUUCACGUGUAUCCGAGUUAAUGGCGUUCAAGCAGGCAGACGUGGCCGGUAUUACGUAGCACCGUGAUAAAGUCCCUCUCACUACACUGAAGUUAAUAGGAAUACAACUUUUAGAUCGCAAAUGUCUAUCAUACAUGUCCGAUUGUAAUACUKGCCGACGUCAUAACUCGGGAGGAUGUCUUUCGAAUGAGCCAUUGAUCAUAUUUUUGCGAUAUUUCUACAUUGAGAUGUGUAAUUUGACGAAUGGUCUAGCAUAUUGUUCCUAUUUGCCUCUAGUCCAUGGUGCUGUUGCCAAAGAUCUUAUAGAAAUUCGUGCUAAUGUCGUUUUGUCUAGCUAGUGCCCAAUAGACUCCCAUUCACAUCAAGGAGAGCGCGUCUUGUCGCAGAAUUGCCCAGAAUGCACCGCGCGGCCCCUUGGUGUAGCUUGGUCRGCGUUUCCUAUCUCCUCAAAAGUACAUCUGCCGUUGCGAAUGUUAUACUCCAUUCUGUGAGGCACAUCGAUCUGCAGGUUGAACAUGGUCCCUGCAUGAGGCUUCUGGUAUCUGAURCAAUGGAGACAUUGAGGCAAAACGUCAAUAAGUAACGCUUCACAACAGGGGRCUGUACUGUAAAUUCCUAAAUGAUGCAAAUAUUUUUUUCUGUUCUGGUUACAUAUGUAUUUCAUGGAUCAUCAAAAUAAACAAAUGUACACAUGUA